CAGGGGUUCCCUAGAUUGGAUAGCAAAAUAUAUGUGUUUGAAAAAUGAUUAAACAAUAUUUAAAUCAACAGUGUAUAUAAUAAAAUUGUAUAUUGACAAAAUAUUUAUACAGAUAGAUAAUGAUAGGUUCUGUUUUGAUUGGUGGCCUUUCAUAUACAUGUAUAUAAAUUAUAAACUUAAAAUUAGUAGACCACUAAGUCAGUUAUUUUUACAUAUUUUAGCUUGUGCACAAAAGACUUGCUCCACGAAAUAUUCUGUUGACUGGAGAUCUGGAGCCUAAGAUCUAUGGAUUCGGACCUGAACCACCGCAACAACAGGGCAACGAGGAAGAAAAGGAUGCCACAUCUGACGAAAAGAUCUACCCCUGGCAACUGCAGGUUUUUACAGCCAUAUGCACAGAAGUGGGCAGGCAUGGUGAAGUAUUGAAACGAAAGAACCCAAAGACCAGGUCGAUAUCACAUGUCGUAAAGCUGUCCAUGAUAUCGAAAAGCCUGGACUUUAAUUUAACGUGGGGAAUGGUUGUGUAUAAAGUUGAAAAGUUUUUAAACUGUUCAUUAAAGC